rnacentral:rRNA from 1 species
GACGAACGCUGGCGGCGCGCUUAACACAUGCAAGUCGAGCGAAGCGGCGGACGGGUGAGUAACACGUGAGUAACCUACCUUAGACAUUGGGAUAGUCUCGGGAAACCGGGAUUAAUUCCAAAUGGUCUAAGAUGGACUCGCGUCCCAUUAGCUAGUUGGUGAGGUAACGGCCCACCAAGGCGACGAUGGGUAGCCGGCCUGGGAGGGUGAGCGGGCACUGUGGAACGGAGACACGGUGCGAACUCUGCGGGAGGCAGCAAUGGGGACUAUUGCACAAUGGAGGGAACUCUGAUGCAUCGACGCCGCGUGAACGAAGAAGGCUGUCGAGUCGUAAAGUACUUUUAUAUGGGAAGCGUUACCAUAAGACAAAGCCCCGGCUAACUACGUGCCAGCAGCCGCGGUAAUUC